rnacentral:piRNA from 1 species
UCGGGCGUUGAUAUACUUAAA